CAAACCGGAGGAAGUGGGGAUGACGUCAAGUCCUCAUGGCCCUUAUGGGUAGGGCUUCACACGUCAUACAAUGGUCGGUACAGAGGGCUGCAACCCGCAAGGGGGAGCCAAUCCCUUAAAACCGAUCGUAGUCCGGAUUGAGGUCUGCAACUCGACCUCAUGAAGUCGGAAUCGCUAGUAAUCGCGGAUCAGCAUGUCGCGGUGAAUACGUUCCCGGGUCUU
rnacentral:rRNA from 1 species